AGGUGUCAUUGGAAAAUUUCUCCCCUUCCCCUUCCUCCCUUUCUUUCUCUCUCAUUUCUCUUUCUCCUCUCUCUCUCUCUUUCUCUCUCUCUCUCCCUCCCUCCCUCCCUCUCUGUGUUUUUGAGACAGGGUCUCUCUAUGUAACCCAGGCUGGCCUGGAACUUGCAGCAAUCCUCCUGCCUCGGCUGCCCAAGUGCUAGGAUCACAGGUGUCUGCUGCCAUAUCUGGCUGUGAUGUUGAGUUUCAUCCUCACAAUAAUCCUAUAAGGUGGGCACUGCUCCUACCACCCCCAUUUUCUGGAUGGAGAAACCGAGGACCAGAGAAAUUAACUCGCCCAAGUCACACUGCUGGCAAACCCUGGAGCAGGGCUAUGAAGCUGGACCCUUCUGACCGCUCUGGGGGUUUCAAAGGCUCCAGGGCUAAGCCCAAAAUUGGCCCAUCCACAGCAAUUAAAAGCUUCCUUCGCAGACCCUGGGGAUUUCUCUCUGAUCAAUCAGAAAACACCGCAGGUGGGAAACAGCCAAAGCCAAGAUCGAAGCCAGCGGAUCUGAGCUGUUCAGAUGCACGACAGCAUCAUUCAAAUUGGGUUUUAAAAGCUCUUAUUUUCCAACAUGGUGCGUGCUCAUGUGUGCAAGAAAC
rnacentral:lncRNA from 1 species